CUGAAACAUUUGGAAUUGCAUGCAUUUUUUUGCUGAAUUGCUGCAUCUUUGCUAAAGAAUGUAAUCUUGCACCUGGCACAUGGCUCUUUUGGAGAAGUGAGCUCAGUGCCCCUUGGAGUCUCAGAUCUAAGGCUGACUGAUAUGGCCUGCCCUGCACCAGGAGGCUUUGGGGUACUCAUCAUGGGGACAGCCUGUCUUGGGGGUAUGUUCUGGAAGUGA
rnacentral:lncRNA from 1 species